GCAGUGGUGGUUCAGUGGCAGGAUGCUCGCCUUUCAUGCGGGAGACCUGGGUUCAAUUCCCAGCCAAUGUA